GAAUCUUUAGCUCAGCUGGUAGAGCAUCGGCCGUUUAAGCCGAGGGUCGUGGGAUCGAAGCCCACAGGAUUCA
rnacentral:tRNA from 1 species